UUUUACAUUUGAGAUUUCAAUGAUUUUUAUUUUUCUUAAGCCCACUAGUAUUCUCUAACUAUAUGCCAAGAUCAUAUGAGAUAAAUAUUUCUAUAAAUUUAAUAAAUGAUGCAUUCAUAAAUUGAUUAAACUUCCCAAACCAGAAAUUUAUCACCGUUUUACUAAAGCAAAGCAUUUUUAUUUCAUAUGCUGUGUGCAUACGUGUACGUACAGGACACUAGAAGGAGAAAAACACUUGGGGAUUUUGCUUCACUUAGAGAAGAGGUAUCUUCCUUUGAGUCUGAGGAGUGGAAAUGGUGACAACGAGACACUCGUGGAUAAGAACUGUCCCCUUCUGCCGGGUGCAUCUCCAGAAGAAUGGACCUGAAAGCUUGUCAGGUGGACUUGAAGACGUCGUCAUGCUGCACUGACAUCCUGUGAGACUCAGGGCCAGCAGCUGUCCUGUUCUCUGAUGGAGCAGCCAUGAGGGAGCCCCCACACAACAGGGACACCGCCCCGUGCAGGCUCCCCGAGCGUGGGGACGACUGUUCCUCCUCAACAGAGGUGCUAAACGGUGCAGAACAUCGUAUAUUUAAGCACAUUCUCUUCUCAUCUCCAUCUGUAUGGCAAUCCAAUUCAUUGUUUGGCAGUUACAUUUCCUGAAAUCAAGAGAGACGGGGCCUGGCAGGUGACGAGGAUGCUGCGGGAAUGUGCAGGGGUGCAGACCUUCCUGGGAGGUGUCUGAGGUCAGUUUGUGGACGACGGGGAGACCUGUGCAGGACAGGGGAGCUCUGCCACUCACCACCUGUGUCAUCUGGGAACAGGCACUCAGCUUCUCUGUGCCUCAGUUUCCUCAUCUGAAGUGCAGAAGCCACGGCUGCACAUUGCUCGUGGUGCCGUGAGGGCAGGAAGAACUCCUGCAUGCUCAGACACGCCUGGCUUGGAGAAGGGCUGUGUGAGGGUGAUCGCUAUCAUUGUCGUCAUUUGCACAGUGGUCGGGCGCCGAGGCCUCAGACCAAGAAGCUGGGUCUAGGCUUUGUUCUGGCUCUGACAGCAACCCGCUGUGUGACCGUGGACAAGUGGUUUACACUCUCUGUGUCUCAGGGCCCCAUCUGCAAGUGGAUGUAAUAACCGCACCAACCCCAGAGGGUUGCCCUGAGAAUAAAGACAGUGAUACACACCGUGUCCCAACAAUAGUGCCACACACCGUGAAGCGCUCAGUGAAUGCAGCCUGUGUUGCUUCUUAUUAAACUUUCGGGUCCAGAUGACGUUAUUCGAGCUCAGUACUUCAUUCUCCCAUCACCGGGUGACUUGGAACUGAUGCUGAGAUGCGGCCAUUCUCUAGGCGUAGCACAGGUCUACAUGGGCCCUCCUCAACUCCGUGCGCUUGUGUGUUCCAAUGCCGUGCUCCACUCAGGGGUCACGGCAGCAGGCUGGCGGAGUGGACCGAGCAUGGACACUGCAGCAAGCAGACGGGAGUUUGGAGCCCUUCCUUCUAACCUUCCCCCUAACCGCUCAGUCUCAGGUUUCUUCUUCUGUAAGAUGGGCACAGCAGCCUCUAACCCUCAGUCGGUUGUCAGAAUGUGGAGACAUUAUUUGUGAUGUGACUUGGUGGAGUCCUCGGAAGAGCAACUUUAAACAAGUGUCUGUUGCUCCCUCCACGGAAAGGCUGUCACCGAGUCCCUGCUGGGAUGUUGCCACCGUGGUCCCAGGAGGCGUUAGAGCUGGGGUUUGGUUAGAGCUGGGUCACAGAUGGGCUGUACACAGCCUGUCUCCCACUCUGAGUAAUCGUGCUGACUGUUCCAGGGCGAGGGCCACCCUCCUCUCUGCCCCCGCCGCCUGGGCACGCUGACCCGGGGUCAGCAUCCAUCACUCCGUGGCAGGACCCUCCCCAAACCCCGAGCACCCAGAGGGCGGACGCAGUGUUGUCAACUAAGCACGGAAGCGUUAGGAAAUCACACUCUGUGACUGCUGGUGUUCCCCGGGGAUUUGGUCCAUUUUGUCUUCAAAUGCUACGCUGAAAAGCGACGUUCUACAGCCACCUGCUGUUCUGAAUAAGUACGUAUUUUUUCAAUUUUGAUUCUGAGAAUGUUUUCCUUUAUUUUUUCAUAGCAUUUCAGAGCUAUAAGUUUUCUUACAGUCCAUUUUCCAGCCACUUCAACAGUAGACGAGCACACUGAGGCGCAGACAGGCCGGGUCUACAGGUGGCUGUGACAGCCGUUCAUUCGUCCACGUGGUCACCAAACGGUCACCUCACUCCUGCAUUAGGAAAGGUGCUGUGAGAGAGAAGAGACAGCUGAGCGGUGUGAGGUGGGUGGAGGUGGUGGAUGGGACUGGAGAAGCUGAUGGGCAGCACAUGGGCGGACCUGUGUGUCGCUUUAGGGGUCUCCGCUCGAUCUCAGAGGUGGGGAGGGUCAGCGAGGGGGCGUGAGGGAGACUGCCAGGGUCAGGUCCCAUGCGGCUGGACCAUUUCAGCAUCUCUGCAGGAGGGAGCGUCUAGAACUGGAGACGGGAGGGCGGUCAGGAGGCAGCUGUGGCAGCGGCGCCAGGCGGGGCGGCAGGGCGAGGUAGAGUCUGUGCUGAAGGAACAGACGGGAGGUAAAGCAGGGGGCACAACUUCCAGCUACGGGGCUUAGACUGGACAUGAAAGUGUUAAGGACGACCUCGGAGGAGUUUUAAUUUCGGUGACAGAGAUGAUGGAGGUGUGACUGAGGCUGCAGAAAGAAGACAAUGGUUCAGGAGAAAAGAAGGCAGUUUGAAUUCUGCAGUGGCUGAGGUCAAAGUGUUUGGGGGAGAAGCCAGGUGGUGCCAAGUGCUGGAAGUUGACUAGAACAUUCUGAAGCAUAGAAAAGUAUGGGCUAAAGGUACAUAUUAGCAAGUCACAAGGGUAUAGCAUGGAUUGAAAUCAUGAAAGAGGAUGACAUAACAGAAAGAAAAGGUAUAGAAUGGCUAGAAGAAUCGUUCAUGGAAAGAACCCCGGGGAUGCCAACACUGGGUGAGAGGGCAGAGGAAGACCAGCCCCAGACGGAUAAAGGGGAGGAUGGAUGGAGAGAUUCAAGGAGAACCUAAGAGAAGGAAAAAAAUCCCUGACAGCUGGUGGUUGGCCUGGCAACCAGGCGCCAGGCCAUGAUGAUCUGAUGCUGAGACAAUGGGUUCCACCAAAUAUCCACAUCAGACAAGCCACCUGUAAUCACGGCAGAGCGAGACAAAACCAAGACCACUGAACAGCCGUAGCUGAGCCCAGAGAAGACAAACACCACAACCACAAGACAAGAUGUGGCCUUUCCUGAUGCAACAUGACUCAGCGCCAGCACCCACUUCCUCGAGCCCUCUCCAGAACCGCCUGACAUAAGCCUACAGCUUAUUUCAGGGCCCCGCUAACCCUCUCACAUCCCCAGGGUCUCCGUGAUGUGCAGGCUCCCUCUCUCGUUCAAGUGAGGUGACAGCGGCACACACCUCAUCAGAUGGACGUGACACACUGACAGCUCGAGGUGAACUCCCCGCAAACGUCAGGUAGCUGGUACCACAGUUGUGACUAGACCUUCUCUAGAUGGGAGAGCAAAGUAACUACAAAUUUUCAUCAUUAAAUUAUAUAUUUAUGUAUUUUUGUUUGUAAUAUUCAUUGCUUUUAUAACCAUAAACCCCCCAAAUUCAUAAACAUAAAAACUUUUCAGGUACAAUCCACAUUGCCAAGGGCCCUGCAAUCCCUCCGUUUCCCAGCAGGGGGAACUGUCUGCUCCCCAUAACCCUCAUUUCAGGACCAGGCUGGACGAGCUGCGCGUGUCCAAGAUGACAACGAUUUACGCUGAUACCCAUCUAUGGAACUAGCCCCUUGCAAACGUGAAAGGGCCCCUUUCCAAUCUUAUUAAAGUGGAAAACCUGCGUGAAAAUCGUCGUCGUCGUCGUCCUCAACCCCCACGUUGUGGCUCGCUCUGCAGGCAGCAUCCCAGCUCUGUUAAUAGUCAUUACAACACCAUGGGGUGAGGAAACUGAGGCACGAAGUUGGGCGGCCCAGUGUCGCACAGCCGGCGUGAGGAAGCAUCUGCACCGGGCGUCUGGUUCCACAGCCUGCGGCUCCUGCGUGGGUGGGCAUCGCUGGACCCCAACCAGGGCGCUGGAGUCUCUUCCAGAAAUUCGGAGCCCUUUCUCUGCCUUCACCUCAGCAUCAAUGAGCCCUUUUCCUCAAACCCACUGGAACGAGAAAUUAUAUCUAGUCCAAAAUUAUGCAGAGAUAUGAGAACACCCGUGAAGCGCUCAUUUUGUCUGAAAACACUUAUGAUCAGCACUCUAUUUGGUCUGUAAGAAUGUGGGGUUUUUUUUUCUCACAAAUAUGUUAUCUCAGCUAAUUAAACACGUAUUUUCAUUGCUUUGACCAGCUGAGGGCGCAUUUU
rnacentral:lncRNA from 1 species